CCUACGGGGUGCAGCAGUGAGGAAUAUUGGUCAAUGGGCGUAAGCCUGAACCAGCCAAGUCGCGUGAGGGAUGAAGGUUCUAUGGAUCGUAAACCUCUUUUAUAAGGGAAUAAAGUGUGGGACGUGUCCUGUUUUGUAUGUACCUUAUGAAUCAGGAUCGGCUAACUCCGUGCCAGCAGCCGCGGUAAUACGGAGGAUCCGAGCGUUAUCCGGAUUUAUUGGGUUUAAAGGGUGCGUAGGCGGCCUUUUAAGUCAGCGGUGAAAGUCUGUGGCUCAACCAUAGAAUUGCCGUUGAAACUGGGAGGCUUGAGUAUGUUUGAGGCAGGCGGAAUGCGUGGUGUAGCGGUGAAAUGCUUAGAUAUCACGCAGAACCCCGAUUGCGAAGGCAGCCUGCCAAGCCAUGACUGACGCUGAUGCACGAAAGCGUGGGGAUCAAACAGGAUUAGAUACCCCGGUAGUC
rnacentral:rRNA from 1 species